CUAAAACAGCUCAACUGUUAUCUCUUACUUUUUCUUCUAUUACAUGAAAAUAGGGGUGUGCUAUAUUGACAGUAAUGUUUCAAAAAUAUAAUUUUUAAUAUUUCCUGGGAUUUGGCAAUAAUGAUAAUUAGAGCAUAUUUUGCUGGUUCACAGCAGUAUUUCAGAUUACUACAAGGCACUAUUUUGUCCCCUAUACUCAUUUCAAAUAAAAUUUUUAGGGCAUUUUUUAAAAAACUUUAUAAAAUGUAUAUAUCAUUUUGUUACUUUUAACAAUAAUUUCAAUUAGAAUAAGAUACGGUUACAAAUAAAACAAGGCCUUAUGUUUUCUCGUGGGAAGAAGAGGAUUAAGUAAGCACGUACAAUUGCAAUGAAAUCAACAAAAUCCAUCUUUGCACUGCAGCGGUGACACAGAAGGUGCAUCUGGAAAAGCCUUUAUUUACACAGAAUGUUUGAUGCAGCUCAGAAGUGGUUUGAAUGCAUUUACA